rnacentral:lncRNA from 12 species
GCCCGGCUGACCUCGGAAGGAGUCUCGUGUGCGGGCGGGAGCCGGUCUGACCCCGGAACCAGUUCCCGGAACCAAUCAGAGCCGCCCACGCCUGUGCCCCGGGCGGUCCUCAGGUCCCGCGCGGUGGGGCUGUGUGUGCAGGGGGUCGGGACCCGGUCUGGAGGGAGCGGCGCCCCGGGUGUGGGAGCUCGUCAGGGACCGACGCCUGGAAGCCGCAGCGCCCCUAGGGGGGGUGGGGGGGGCUGUGCAGGCGCCCACGGGGAUGCUCCAGCCCCGGCCCGUGGCCUGGCUCCCGAGGUUCCCUGUGCUGAUUGCGGAGCUGUGAGGAGAGAAACUGAGGCACAGCAGAACUUCAAAAGCGUACUUGAGCAAAAGCCAGGCCCCCACGGCAUUGCAGCCACAUCCGUCCAACGGCCACCUUGCUUGAUUCGUUUAACAGCUGAAACCCAAAACCUUCGGAGUUUCGCAUCCAUCGAUUCCAGCCUGAAUAACUGUAUGGCAAGCGGUAAAGGUAGAAAUACUUUGAACUCCUGAAUAAAGGUGAGUAUGGUAGCCCUGUUUUAUUUGUUGUUCUUGUUUCCUGAAUUUGGUCCUCCUUCAAGAAAGAAGAAAGGUCAACACACACCAAAAUGGUUUAUUUGUGGGUUUUUUUUUUUUUUUAAGAAUUUAUUUACUUCUUCAUAGAGACAGAGAGAGAGAGAGCGCGAGCGAGGCAGAGACACAGGCAGAGGGAGAAGCAGGUUCCACGCAGGAAGCCCGACGUGGGACUCGAUCCUGGGUCUCCAGGAUUAGGCCCUGGGCUGAAGGCAGGGCCAAACCGUGGAGCCACCCGGGCCGCCCAGUUUUGUUUUGUUUAGUUUUUUUAAAUUAUUAUUGUUAUAAUCGCCUCUGUGCAUGUGUCAUAACUUUGGACUCUUUGUGAAAUUUAAACAAAUUAUUGGGAAUCGUACUCCAGUGUAUUCCACAGGAAUAGAAGUGUCCUCAAAUUAAUAGAGGUCAGAGCAUGAGAAAGUAUUUUUAAAAGUGCUAAUGUUAAAAAAUAUAUGUAAAACUACUAAUAUUAAUGUAUCAGUGAUUCAACUGUUAUUUAGAGAUUCCAUAUGUAGGCUUUAUAUAGUAGUUGUCAAAAUGAUUCUAUUGAAGCCACGUUAAAAAAUAUAACUAACGCUAUGCGAACGGGUUAUCAUCUUUAGAUUUAUGGUUAUGUUUCUAUAAUAAAGCAGUAUUUUACUAUCCA